rnacentral:rRNA from 1 species
GAAAAGAAACCAACAGGGAUUGCCCUAGUAACGGCGAGUGAAGCGGCAACAGCUCAAAUUUGAAAUCUGGCCCCCCCGCGGGGGUCCGAGUUGUAAUUUGCAGAGGGUGCUUUGGCGUUGGCUGUGGUCUAAGUUCCUUGGAACAGGACGUCGCAGAGGGUGAGAAUCCCGUAUGUGGCCGCCAGUCUUCGCCGUGUAAAGCCCCUUCGACGAGUCGAGUUGUUUGGGAAUGCAGCUCUAAAUGGGAGGUAAAUUUCUUCUAAAGCUAAAUAUCUGCCAGAGACCGAUAGCGCACAAGUAGAGUGAUCGAAAGAUGAAAAGCACUUUGGAAAGAGAGUCAAAAAGCACGUGAAAUUGUUGAAAGGGAAGCGCUUGCAGUUAGACGUGCCUCUAGUUGCUCAGCCGGGCCUUCGGGCCCGGUGCACUCUUCUAUUGGCAGGCCAGCAUCAGUCUGGGCGGUCGGAUAAAGGCCCAUUAAACGUGACUCCCUCCGGGGAGAGCUUAUAGGGUGGGCGACAUGCGACCAGCCCGGACUGAGGUCCGCGCAUCUGCUAGGAUGCUGGCUUAAUAACUGUAAGCGGCCCGUCUUGAAACACGGACCAAGGAGUCUAACAUCUAUGCGAGUGUUUGGGUGUCAAGCCCGGACGCGUAAUGAAAGUGAACGGAGGUGGGAUCCCUUCGGGGUGCACCAUCGACCGAUCCUGAUGUCUUCGGAUGGAUUUGAGUAAGAGCAUAGCUGUUGGGACCCGAAAGAUGGUGAACUAUGCCUGAAUAGGGUGAAGCCAGAGGAAACUCUGGUGGAGGCUCGCAGCGGUUCUGACGUGCAAAUCGAUCGUCAAAUUUGGGCAUAGGGGCGAAAGACUAAUCGAACUAU